rnacentral:tRNA from 1 species
GGCGGAUCGUCGCUGGUGGACGGGGGGGACUUCGACCUCGACGCGGCCAGGAUCCGGCGGUUCGA